UACGAAGGAGGCUAGCGUUGUUCGGAAUUACUGGGCGUAAAGCGCGCGUAGGCGGCGUCCUUUGUCAGAGGUGAAAUCCCGGGGCUCAACUUCGGAAUUGCCUUUGAAACGGGGAUACUUGAGUCCGAGAGAGGAUGGCGGAAUUCCUAGUGUAGAGGUGAAAUUCGUAGAUAUUAGGAAGAACACCGGUGGCGAAGGCGGCCAUCUGGCUCGGUACUGACGAUCAGGCGCGAAAGCAUGGGGAUCAAACAGG
rnacentral:rRNA from 1 species